GACGAACGCUGGCGGCGUGCCUAAUACAUGCAAGUAGAACGCACAGUUUAUACCGUAGCUUGCUACACCAUAAACUGUGAGUUGCGAACGGGUGAGUAACGCGUAGGUAACCUGCCUGGUAGCGGGGGAUAACUAUUGGAGACGAUAGCUAAUACCGCAUAAUAUUGAUUAUUGCAUGAUAAUUGAUUGAAAGAUGCUAUUGCAUCACUACCAGAUGGACCUGCGUUGUAUUAGCUAGUAGGUGAGGUAACGGCUCACCUAGGCGACGAUACAUAGCCGACCUGAGAGGGUGAUCGGCCACACUGGGACUGAGACACGGCCCAGACUCCUACGGGAGGCAGCAGUAGGGAAUCUUCGGCAAUGGACGAAAGUCUGACCGAGCAACGCCGCGUGAGUGAAGAAGGUUUUCGGAUCGUAAAGCUCUGUUGUAAGAGAAGAACGGGUGUGAGAGUGGAAAGUUCACACUGUGACGGUAUCUGACCAGAAAGGGACGGCUAACUACGUG
rnacentral:rRNA from 1 species